rnacentral:lncRNA from 1 species
GUUUUUUGCCUUGUGUUUUCAGUCUCAUAUUUUUGUCCCAAGGACAGAUGCAAGGUUGAGGUCCAGAGUGGUCAAGGAAGGGGCUCCAGUUCACAUGAUAGCAGCACCUGACCCCCAGUGACAGAGACCUGGGGAUCUAGGGCUCAGCAUUCUCAGAUGAUUGAGAAGAAAACUGGAGAACAGAAGAAACAUGAUGUAUUUAUUCUCACAGAGAAUAUGCCUGUCUGAAGAGGCUCCUGCAAGACCCGCUGUGCUCAUGGUGGAAAUCCAGGACCUCGGAGGGCUGCAGCCAAAUCUGUGGCAUAGACUCACUGGUGAAUUUGCAGCCAGUGGAGGAGGGAUGUGCUGAAGAAAUCACUGCCCACAUCAUUAAUUCGUCACAAUUGGAGUGAGCGCCAGGCAAGAGGGGGCUCUGAUGCUUUGAAAGAGGCCCAAUAAUACAGAGACUUGACUUGCCCCAAG